AUUGAACGCUGGCGGCAUGCUUUACACAUGCAAGUCGAACGGUAACAGGUUAAGCUGACGAGUGGCGAACGGGUGAGUAAUGCAUCGGAACGUGCCCGGUCGUGGGGGAUAACGCAGCGAAAGCUGCGCUAAUACCGCAUACGAUCUGAGGAUGAAAGCGGGGGACCGUAAGGCCUCGCGCGAUCGGAGCGGCCGAUGUCAGAUUAGGUAGUUGGUGGGGGAAAGGCUCACCAAGCCAACGAUCUGUAGCUGGUCUGAGAGGACGAGCAGCCACACGGGGACUGAGACACGGCCCAGACUCCUACGGGAGGCAGCAGUGGGGAAUUUUGGACAAUGGGCGAAAGCCUGAUCCAGCAAUGCCGCGUGCAGGAAGAAGGCCUUCGGGUUGUAAACUGCUUUUGUACGGAGCGAAAAGGUCUCCUCUAAUACAGGGGGCUCAUGACGGUACCGUAAGAAUAAGCACCGGCUAACUACGUGCCAGCAGCCGCCGUAA
rnacentral:rRNA from 1 species